UACAGAGGUCCCAAGCGUUGUUCGGAUUCAUUGGGCGUAAAGGGUGCGUAGGUGGCGCGGUAAGUCGGGUGUGAAAUCUCGGGGCUUAACUCCGAAACUGCAUUCGAUACUGCCGUGCUUGAGGACUGGAGAGGAGACUGGAAUUCAUGGUGUAGCAGUGAAAUGCGUAGAGAUCAUGAGGAAGACCAGUGGCGAAGGCGGGUCUCUGGACAGUUCCUGACACUGAGGCACGAAGGCCAGGGGAGCAAACGGG
rnacentral:rRNA from 1 species